AGAAGUUCUGCUGGGUUUUGUUUACCCUCCCUGUCACCCUCACCCUCGCCGCUCACGGUUUCGCCACUCACGUUUUCGCCACCUUACACUUUCGCCGUUUUCAAGGCUCACUGUCGUCUCUCAGCCUCACUCUGACUCUCCUUUUCAACCCGUUUUUACCCACCCACUCACAACCGUCACCCAAUGGCCUGAAAUAAAAAACAGAUGAGAUUGGGCUAAUAGUUACCACCCGUGGAUUGAAUCGGUUUUGUGUUUUGGCCCGAAUCCGACCGUACCCGACCCGAUGUCCAACCCUGCUUGCUAGUUGCUACUACGGGUGGAGUGCUGAUUCAGUCCUCAUUUGUUUUUUUUGUUUGUUUUGGUAGCCAUUCUUUAUUCUUCAUAAAGCUUCACCUCGGGGAAAAGAUAGAACAUCAGAAGGGAAGGGAAAAUGUCGCAAGAGAAAUGAACUUUCUCCUUCUCGGAGUGCAAAGAAACUGAAAUUAAGCCCAACUGAAGAUUGUGAUGGCCAUUUGGAUCAGAAACUGCAGAUUGAAACUUUUGAGAUUGUUUGGACAAAGAUUGAAUCAACCAUUAAGGAUGUCUUGAAGAGCUCGGUCUUUCUCUAAUUUGAUUAUUAUUCUAGCAAUGCAAUCCCUCAAGUCACGCUCUCUCCUUUUUUAUUCUCCUUUCAAUUACUCACUUCAUCCCUUUCUCUUUUCAUUUUCUACUGCUUCUUUAUCAACCCCAAAUCAAACCACUAUUCUCCACGAUUUCCUCAAUUCCAAUUUCAAUUUCCCCAAAUCUCAAUCCCUUUAUAUCUCUAAACGCAUUUCAUCUCACACCCUCCCUCUAAAGCCCUUAUCCGUCCUCAACUUUUUCAAACAAAUUGGAUUCUCCGAAUCUCAGAUUCACUCUAUUAUUCGUCAGAGAGCUCAAAUACUCUUCUCAGAUGUUGAUAAAACUCUAAAACCUAAAAUUCACCUCUUUCAACAAUUGGGUUUCCAAUGUUCGGAUUUAUGCGAUUUCAUUUCCAAAAAUCCCACCAUUUUGACUGCUAGUUUGAACAAAACAUUGGUACCCUCCGUCGAAGCCAUUCGAAAAAUUGUUUGCAACGAAAAAGAUCUUAUUCAUGUUUUGUGCAAAUGUGGUUGGAUACUCCCAAAGUACCAACUUUUUGUCGCCAACGCCGCUUUCCUAGAGAGAUGGGGAAUUUUUGGUGAUCAGCUUUUGAUUCUACUCAAACGACAGUCGAGACUUUUGACUGCCACACAAUCUUCUAUUAGGAACUAUGUUUUGCAAGCUGUAGACUUGGGUUUCGAAGAAAAUUCAAGAAUGUUGGUUCACGGGCUUCAUACCUUAGCUUGUUUGAGUUCUAAAACAUUUAGGAGGAAGAUGGAUUUCAUUCAGGGUUUUGGGUUUUCUAAAGAUGAGUGUUUGCAAAUGUUUAAAAAGACUCCAACUUUGCUUAGGACAUCGGAGAAGAAAUUAAAGGUUGGAAUGGAAUUCUUCUUGCAGACAGUAAUGCUGCCAAAGUCAGCGUUGGUUCAACGGCCUGUGAUUUUGAUGUAUAGCAUUGAGGAUCGAGUGUUUCCUCGGUAUAGAGUUUUUCAGCUUUUGAAAGCACAAAAUCUAUGUAGGAAGGUUCCAAGCUUUAUUCAUGUGUUAUGUUUGUCUGAAGACAUGUUCUUGGACAAGUAUAUAUCAAGGUUUAAAGAAAAUGCGGAGCCAUUGUUGAUAGCGUACAAGGGGGAGCACUAUCAAGAAGCAUAAUAACGAUCCCUUGGUGAUGUUGUAUUUUGCACACUUAUUUACAGGAAGCAUUGAGCAAUUUUGGGGAUCACAGCUUUGUUGGUACUUAUGCUGCAGAUAUGAGUCCAUUAAUUGUCAACUUGAGCAAUGACUUCCAAAUUGAAAAUCUUGAAAUUCUGCAAAAUGAAAAUGUUGAAGCGGGAAAUAUAGUUGGGGUUGCAAGGUCAAUUGUCAGGCUCCUCCUUUGUGGAUCCAUAAAAAUGUUCAGUUGCAGAUUUGAAUACCGAAGAUCUGUGUAUUGUGCAUGAUGAUGGCGUUUCUGGUUUGUCAAGUGAUGAGGUAAAAUCAGAAAGAGACAUGGUUGAAAUUAUGGAGUCAACUGAUGACAUUGUAGGCGAAAAAUGCGAAGGAGCUUCUGAAAUAGUAGUUAGUAAUUCAGUUUUCUUGGAUCAUGAAGUUGGUGAUGGAGAUGGUAAUCCGGAGGAAAGAAGGGAUCCGAGCUCCUUACUUUGCCGUCCCAAAACGAAUUUCCUCUAGAAGUAAACUCGUCUAUAAUCUCAAACGAGGCUCAGGAAGAAUCUGCACAUGAGGUACAGUUCACGACUUGUAGAGAUGUCGAGGUUUUGCAGGAAAAGGAAGACAUGAAUGUUAUUGAUCCACUUCAUGUGCAUGAUGAUACACUUGAUGUUGCCAAGGUAACAAACUGGAGUGGAACUCACCAGCAAUAUCCUGCAAACAUCAAGAGAGAAAAAGGAAGUUGAAAAGUAGACCAUUUUGGAUACAAUUGGUUUGUUGCUCAACAGUGGAUCCUCAGAGAAGGUAGAAGAAGAAUUGAAGGUUGUUCUUUACUAUUGACAUGCUAGUAUUUGCUCUCUAUUGUUUUUUAGUUUAUCUGUCAUAGAUUUUAGGUGCAUAUUUUAACGUUUCCCAUAUUAUUCUUGCCAAGCUUUCUAGGAGUUUACUAUGUAUAUGUUGGCCAUCUUCAGUUUUUAUUUUUAUCAAGUGGGAUCUUAAUUUGGUCUUAAUUUGUGUAAUGUGUCGUCUUAAUUUGGUCUAUACACUUUGGAAUUUGGUUGACAAGAAGUAGGGUCUAAACAUGAACUACUAAUGUUGUGUAUGGUUUCA